rnacentral:lncRNA from 1 species
AUGCAGGUAUAAUCCAGAAAGGAGCACAUAUUUUAAAUCUUACACAAAAAUCUGACUUCCCUGUAGAAUUCCAACCUGGUUUCUUUUGUUUUGUAACACAAAAGAAAGCUUGGGUAAAUAUGUAAAGAACUGAUUAUUCAUUAUUACUUAGCUAGUGGGUUUGGCUCUGACAUUUCCUUCUUUGUUUUCAUUCAGACUGCCUACCAAAUACUACAAAGCUCCUUUUGACAAUGCUAAGCAGGAAUAGACAUGAAGAAAAUCUGUGACUAUCUCAGACUGAUUUAGAAAGACAGUUUCAAAUUUGAGUAUUAAAAUGCUGGGCCAAUGCUGACUAAGAAAAGAAAUAAAAUUUGCAAAUAUGAGAUGUAUAGGAAAGAUGGAAGACCAAUUAAAAAUGAUAAAAAAUCAAAUUAAAAGCAUGAAAAUAUAGACAGAAGAAAUUUAGACUAGAAAUCUUCCAGAAAGUGAAGAGAUGCCACAGAAUUCUUAUUUAUUCUUUCCAAUGUUUUUCACAGAAUCUCAAAACUGGAUCACAAAUAUAAAGUAACAGUUUCAUUUCUCAGGGGAUAAAAUAUCAUCACUAAGGACACAUAAUUAAAACACAGAAGAAUGGAAAAAGCAAUUGAAAACAAAGCUGUAGGGGCCUCACUGGUGCCAAGAGUAGCAUAAAAUAGGUUUUCUAUUUCUGAGGAGAGUGAUUGUAGCAAAAGUAAAAGACUUGCAGCCGUAGGAAAAAGGACGCUGCAUGAGAGAGUCUUGGGUUUUUAAAGAAGAUGUGAUUAUAGAGGGAGGAUCCUCCAGCAGUAAAACACAUGCACAGGACAGUAGAACAUCUCUUACACACACCUCAAACCAUUCCUGCUGAAUGCAGAGACAAGGUGACUUUGCUGAGCAAAGGCCACAGUUUCAGACAUAUAUCUUUUGCUCAUCUUUUACAGCCAUCUGAAUAUACCACCAAAAUCUGAUGCACCAUGAAAUCUUCAAGAAACUCCUGCUCUGGGAUCUUUUGUUCAUUUUGCCACUUUUCACAUCUGAACUCCUCCCUCUUCAACAACCCAAAGUGUAUCCUUUGACCUUGACCAGUACUACUUUUCUCCCUGCUGAUGGGAUAGACAGCAGCAGUACACAGGACGUUGGGAAAAUUGGAAUUUGGAGCAGGAACUCAGUGAACUCACAAGACCCCUAGGGUUGAGGGAUUACUGGAAAGCUCCUGGAGCAAUGUUUGUUUUCACCCAUUGGAACUGGAAAGAGUGCCAGAUCCUACAUUAACACUGGGCUAAUUUACCCAAAGGUGAGAGGCAGAACUUACUGCUUCCUUCCUGUUCUUUUUACCAUUUCAGUCCACAGAACUCAGAAGAAACAGGCACUAAAUUCUAUCAUUAAAUAAUAAAAAUGAAAUUGCUUGUUUCA